CAGGAAGUGAGGGGAAGGCUGCUCCCUGCCAAGAAAGUGCAGUCAGGUUUCUGGCACACACUGGGCAGGCAGAGGGCUCGUGUCUAAGGUUGGCAGGAGUGAUGCUUCUUCAAGUGCACAUGGCGCCUCCAGUCAGUCAUCGCUUGAAAAAGUAACAGAAGAGGAGAGAGGGGCAGCAGAUUAAAUGUUUGCAAGAUGUGUCCAAGGCUGAAUGCUGUAAUUUCUGGUUUUGGUGAACUGAGAGCAAAAUCCCAGGAGCCACAGGCAGCAUCACCCACCCUUGGUGGGCAGGCUGGCUGGGUCACCUCUCCACAUUCCAGCCCACAGGUAAGGAAAGCAGAAUAAUGUGCAAAACCAAGAUGAAACAGAUGUGUCAUUACGAUUCAGACAGAAAUGUAAAUCAGCUGAAGACAUCAGAACAAAAUGCCGUAACUGCCUGUCUCGUGGCUGCAGGGAUGGAUGUGGUUACAGCAGACAGAGGAAAAUCCAUUGAGAUGUGUGCUUAUCUAUCAAUUGUACCAGCUGUUUCUGGUAUGCAGCAACUGACUGACCACAGUAAGGAAACGCGGAUGUAAUCAGUUAGCAAACCGCUCCUUUCUCAGCAAGGAUGAUAAGGAUUGUUGGCAAACCCACAGAGAGUUACGGGAAUAGAGGAAUUGGUGUGCUGAAGUCACUUCCUAUCACCCGGGAGUCCCUGUGCUCAGAGCAUUGUUUGCUUUCUUAGUAUGGAUCUCGGUGUUUGUCUGCACUACUCCAGAUCUAUAAGUGCACUCACCCUGUCCCAGCACACAGAAGCCCACUCAGAGAGACUGCCAACACAAUCUUCUGUCUACCUUUGUGGGAAGGAUUCAGGCUGCCUGUGAGCAGAGAGAGUGAUUCUUUACCACAUCUUUACGCCGGCAAAACACCUUUCUGCAGAGAUAUUUGCAAAACCAGGCAUGACUUAAUCAAUUCUGGGAAGAGGCAUAUGCCAACAGAAACACUCUUUUGCCAACACAAACUGUGCUGCCACUAGAGGAGUAUCGGCAAUCCCACUCUUGUCAGUGUGGGGCCUCCACUUCACUGAUUAGGUGCUGUAUGGGUGGACAGUGCAGGAGGUUCCCAGCCAGUGAGGUCAGUGCUGAGGUGAGCCCCUUCUCCCUCAUCUGAAGAGGAAGUGGUGGCUCUUUCAGCUGCACCUGCAUCAACAGAGAAUUUACAGAAACUGAAGGUGAGCUCCUGAAUGCGCAGCUGGUUGCUGUUGCAGUCUGUAGAUGGGAAAAUAGUCUGCUGCAUUGUAUGUGGUCAACACAGAUAUGAUGAUACCUUGGCAGUAUCUGGUGUCUUUUCUGAGGUCUUGACAGCCAACUCAGAGAGGGCUUCUGCUGCAGCCCUGCGUGCAACUAAUUGCAGCCUAGCACUGAGGUUAGUAGAAUGCCACUAGAUCAAAGCUUCCUUACUGGGAAGGCUGGAGAGCCUUGACAAGGAUGAGGCAGAUCCGGUGCCAAAAAGCAUUGUGUCGCCUUGAUGUCAGCAUUUCAGGUCUAAAAAUGUGACUGGUAAAAGCAGGGGAAGCAAAAGAUUGAAUGCUACCUGCACUGCAUCCUGU